AACUGUCAAGUUUAGAUGGCCGUUUUUCAUACAAGGUUAUUUUUGGGUGUGGAACUCACAAUCCUGGCAAGUAUUUUUUGGGUGUUUAUGCGGGUAUAUUAGGAUUCCAAAAUCUUAAGUAUUCCUUCCCAACCCAGAUUAGAGCUGCCAAAUUCUCCUUUUGUCUAAUUACGCAAACUGAAAUGAGUACUGCCCUUUACCUGUAUGACUUUCCAACCCCGCACGAUAAAUCAAUUGUUGUGUCAUUGCAACGACACCCAUUUUAUGAUUUUUCUUUUUAUUAUGUGGAAUUCAAAGGAAUCUCAAUCCACGGGGAAAUGCUCGAAGUAAGUCCAGAUAAAUGGGAAAUCAAUUCAGAUGGUAGCUAUGGUGUACUUUUGGAUACUGGAACCAGAAUAACAAGGUUUCCAAGAGAAAUAUAUACCCAAUUUCGUGAUAAGUUUGUGGAUGAAACCGAAGAUUUCGUUCCCUUACGAGUAAGCUAUUGGGGCCUAGACGCAUGCUAUAAAACAAAUAUAUAUUAUCUGAAUUAUUUUCCUGAGGUGUCGCUUCAUUUUACUGAUGAGAAGGUCCUUCAUCUAGACCCACGGCAAGUCUUGUAUGAAGUACAGACUGGGGUAUAUUGUCUUGCAUUUGCACCUUUGGAUCGAUCACUAACGAUGUUGGGGAGUUAUCAACUCGGGAGGACAAGACUUUCUUUCAAUUUAGCAGAG
rnacentral:misc_RNA from 1 species